AUUCGAGAAGACCUUGUGUAACUACACACAGGCCUGCACAGAUGCAGACGCCAACAACUGGACUGUGUCAGACGGUAGUGCCGUGUGUCCGGGACGUAACGGGCUGUACGAAUCCUUCUCAGUCCUCAUGUCACCAUCUGCUGAACGUCACACACAAUACGUCACUCGUGUUCAACUACUCGCAGGCGUCGCCAGGUAGACUCAGUGUGUUCCUAGCAACACCUACAGACAUACAGCAAGUGCUUCCAGAAGAGAUAAGGAUGUGUCCGACCAACAGGUGGUCUUCAACAUUAAUUCAUCUCUCGUAAAGGUAGGUUUCAAAGCACGGAUGGCGAAUAACGGUUCCAGAGUGACCCUGACGUAUGUGAAGCUUCAAGUAUAUCCACGUGAAAACGAACAAGUUUAUGUGACCGUCACGGAAACACCGAGCACACCUGACCAGUCAAUCACCUUUUCCUCGACGAAAACAGGUAAAAUUAGAA